GAGUAACGCGUGGGUAACCUGCACCAUACCCAUGGAUAGCCAUUGUUAACGAUGAUUUCCUUCUGAUAAUACUAACAGAUCAAAUGUUCUCUUACUCAAAGAUUUAUCGGUAUGGGAUGGACCCGCUUCUGAUCACCUAGUUGGUAAGGUAACCGCUUACCACGGCGACGAUCAGCAGCCGACCUGAGAGGGUGAUCGGUCACACUGGAACUGAGAUACGGUCCAUACUCCUACGGGAAGCACCAGUGGGGAAUAUUGCACCAUGGGCGCAAGCCUGAUGCACUAACGCCGCGUGAACGAAUAACGCCUUCGGGUCGUAUUGUUCUUUUCUUAAGGAAGAAAAAUGUCGGUACCUAAGGAAUAAGCACCGGCUAAAUACGUGCCAGCAGCCUCGGUAAUACCUAUGGUGCAAGCGUUUUCCUGAAUCACUGGCUGUAACCGGUACGUAUGCGGUUUUGCAAGUCACAUUUGAAAGGCUUCGGUUUAUCCGUAAUAAGCUUUUGAAACUGCCGACUAUAUUGCUAGAUAGGUAAGUGGAAUUCCUAGUGAGAGGUGAAAUUCGCAGAUAUUAAGAGG
rnacentral:rRNA from 1 species